rnacentral:rRNA from 1 species
ACGAACGCUGGCGGCGUGCUUAACACAUGCAAGUCGCGCGGAAAGGCCCUUCGGGGUACUCGAGCGGCGAACGGGUGAGUAACACGUGAGUAACCUGCCCCAGACUUUGGGAUAACCCUCGGAAACGGGGGCUAAUACCGGAUACGACACAGCUUCGCAUGGGGUCUGUGUGGAAAGUUUUUCGGUUUGGGAUGGGCUCGCGGCCUAUCAGCUUGUUGGUGGGGUGAUGGCCUACCAAGGCGACGACGGGUAGCCGGCCUGAGAGGGCGACCGGCCACACUGGGACUGAGACACGGCCCAGACUCCUACGGGAGGCAGCAGUGGGAAUAUUGCACAAUGGGCGGAAGCCUGAUGCAGCGACGCCGCGUGAGGGAUGACGGCCUUCGGGUUGUAAACCUCUUUCAGCGGGGACGAAGCGUAAGUGACGGUACCUGCUGAAGAAGCGCCGGCCAACUACGUG